GGAGCACUCCCUCCGUCCCAAAAUUUUUAUCUUAAAUUUGUCUAAAUACAGAUGUAUCUAGUUAAGUUUUAAUGUUAUAUAUAUCCGUAUCUAGAGAAAUCUACGACAAGAAUUUUGGGACUGAGGGAAUAUUAA
rfam:Triticum urartu cultivar G1812 contig328834, whole genome shotgun sequence.